AUGAACGCUGGCGGCGUGCCUCAUACCUGCCAGUCGAGCGAACAGAUAAGGAGCUUGCUCCUUUGACGUUAGCGGCGGACGGGUGAGUAACACGUGGGUAACCUACCUAUAAGACUGGGAUAACUUCGGGAAACCGGAGCUAAUACCGGAUAAUAUUUCGAACCGCAUGGUUCGAUAGUGAAAGAUGGUUUUGCUAUCACUUAUAGAUGGACCCGCGCCGUAUUAGCUAGUUGGUAAGGUAACGGCUUACCAAGGCGACGAUACGUAGCCGACCUGAGAGGGUGAUCGGCCACACUGGAACUGAGACACGGUCCAGACUCCUACGGGAGGCAGCAGUAGGGAAUCUUCCGCAAUGGGCGAAAGCCUGACGGAGCAACGCCGCGUGAGUGAUGAAGGUCUUCGGAUCGUAAAACUCUGUUAUUAGGGAAGAACAUACGUGUAAGUAACUGUGCACGUCUUGACGGUACCUAAUCAGAAAGCCACGGCUAACUACGUG
rnacentral:rRNA from 1 species